AAGAUCAUACUUCACAGGAUCAUUUCUGUAGUAGAUCUUCGCAUACUCUCUACUCAAAACUAGAGUUGUCGCAACCAUGAGGAUGAGACACAGUCUCAGUUCCUGAGCGUGAGAUAUGAUCUCGAUUUACCACUUGUGGGUGAUUCGGUGGUCCACGAUGAUCGUUCAACCUAUUAGUUUACUAAUGGGGUAUGGGAUUGAGGCAGUCUGAGUGGU
rnacentral:snoRNA from 1 species